ACUACAGGGCAGGGCACCCCACUGCUUCCUGGCUCCGUGUACAGGAAAGGAGGAGGCUUCUGCAAAGCAGCAUAUUCUGAAGCAUCACUUUUGCUCCGUGGAUCAAGACUGCUGAAUCAGCAAAGGAAAAUGCCCCUGAUUUAAGCAGUUUAAUCACUGGCAGGAGACUGAAAGCCGCCUACCUCCUGACAGACCGCGGCUUUUGGCAGAAGUCAGCCCCAGGCAGUGGAACACGGCUUUUGAAUUCAUGUCACAAUGUGAACUGCAAUCUGUUGGCAGGAUUGAGAUGGAAAGCAACUAGCAGUUAGAAAGGAAUCCCUCUUUUCUUGCCUGGACAACUUCAUAAAGAAGAUCCAGACAUUCCCCUUGACUGCUAUUCAGCCCAUCUUUGGCAGCAGAAGGAGGUCUCAGCCCCACAUAGAGAAACAUCAGGAAGGCUAACAGUGAGAACCUUCUGGACCUGUAAGUGACAGCGUAUUUUUACACAAACCAAAUAGCUGCUACCCCAUACUGUGGGUUUAAUGUUUGCUAUUUUCAACUUUCUCCAUUUUGUUACAAUGAAAUAAGUGUCCCUACUGUUUUUGGUCUAUCUGGCUUUAAUUUUCUCAUACUCCCAGUUUCAAGAAAUAUAUAAGCAAAAAGGAAACCUGACAUUUUUCACCACAGUAUUUGUCCUUUAGGAUUAGAUUCAGACAACUUGCUUCAGGUAUUAAGUUCAGACGUCUUAAUGCCUGAAAAAGAGGCAUCCAGCCUUGAUGGAUUAGGUUCAGUAUACUUCCGAUGGAUGCAUGUGCUCACCAGAGGGAUAGGAUAGAGUAGUGUCAGGGUAGCUGCAUCUCUCUGAAGCUCAUGAAAUUGAAUCAGGGCUGUACCUUGCAUGAUUUCCAUCAAAUGAGAUGCAGAGCACCAAAUUUCA